rnacentral:rRNA from 1 species
GCACAAGCGGUGGAUGAUGUGGAUUAAUUCGAUGCAACGCGAAAACCUUACCUACCCUUGACAUGUCCGGAAUCCCGAAGAGAUUUGGGAGUGCUCGCAAGAGAACCGGAACACAGGUGCUGCAUGGCUGUCGUCAGCUCGUGUCGUGAGAUGUUGGGUUAAGUCCCGCAACGAGCGCAACCCUUGUCAUUAGUUGCCAUCAUUUGGUUGGGCACUCUAAUGAGACUGCCGGUGACAAACCGGAGGAAGGUGGGGAUGACGUCAAGUCCUCAUGGCCCUUAUGGGUAGGGCUUCACACGUCAUACAAUGGUCGGUACAGAGGGUUGCCAACCCGCGAGGGGGAGCUAAUCCCACAAAGCCGAUCGUAGUCCGGAUCGCAGUCUGCAACUCGACUGCGUGAAGUCGGAAUCGCUAGUAAUCGCGGAUCAGCUUGCCGCGGUGAAUACGUUCCCGGGUCUU